GAAAUCAACUAAUGCUCUAGCCUGGUAUUUGUCUGGCGGAACAGUUCGUGCAAAAAAUUCAUACCUCUUCUUGUCAGAGAGGGCAGUUGAUGUGGAUGCAUAAGAUAUCUGUAAAAUCAAGUAAAAUGUCUUUUUUGAUCAAAUUUCAAAAAUAUUUCAUCUCUCGCUUUUUAUCAAAUUAUCAUCAUCAUCAAAUUGUGAUUGAAUUUUGGUUAUGGCAAGAAAAGGAAAAGUAAAGCUGCCUAAAAAAACGUUUCUCCUCUGCUUUCCUUAUUAAAUUACCUUUUACACUCUUUGAUUGAUUGGAGUGAAAAUUGAUUUUUCAUUUUCAUUGAUUGGGUAAACAAGGAAUCAAGUUAAUCAAGCUUUUCAACAAUGAUAAUCAUUUUUGACAGUAAAGCUUAUCAACAAUUAACCAGAAAAGAGGCGAAACAAAACUCCCAGUCAACAGGAAUACAAAAUCAAAGCAUUGGAUCUGGAAAUGUUGAAAAAUGAUUGAACAAUCUGAAUGGGUGUCAAGAAUGAAGCUUGAAAGCAGAAAGGAAAAGGAAAAAAAUCUCUUCAAAUGGCUUUCCUGGCAUCAUCACAUUAUUGUAUUUAUUCAACAUUCAAAUUACUAAUGUAUCAAAGUAAUCGUCAGUAAUCAGUUUCAGUUAAACUGCUCAAGGCAAAUGAAAUUGAGAAAAUGAAAGCUAGGGAAAAACAGGUUCAAUUCAAUGUAUUAUCUGAUGAAUAAAUGAAAAAAACUUUUGUA